rnacentral:piRNA from 1 species
UGGAUGUUGUUAAUGACCUGAUGACCUUUGU